rnacentral:pre_miRNA from 8 species
UGUCAUGUAGCUUAUCAGACUGGUGUUGGCUUUGAGUUUUUGGCAACAGCAGUCUAAUAGGCUGUCUGACA